rnacentral:rRNA from 1 species
AUACGGAGGAUGCAAGCGUUAUCCGGAUUUAUUGGGUUUAAAGGGUGCGUAGGCGGUUUGCUAAGCGGGAGGUGAAAUGCCGGCGCUCAACGUCGGAAGUGCCUCCCGAACUGGUGGACUUGAAUGACUCUGCCGUGGGAGGAAUGUGUAGUGUAGCGGUGAAAUGCUUAGAGAUUACACAGAACACCGAUUGCGAAGGCAUCUCACGAAGGGUUGAUAGACGCUGAGGCACGAAAGCGUGGGGAUCAAACAGGAUUAGAUACCCUGGUAGUCCACGCAGUAAACGAUGAUGGCUAACCGCUGGGCUUAUCAGUUCAGUGGCCAAGCGAAAGCGAUAAGCCAUCCACCUGGGGAGUACGACCGCAAGGUUGAAACUCAAAUGAAUUGACGGGG